rnacentral:rRNA from 1 species
GAUGAACGCUGGCGGCGUGCCUAAUACAUGCAAGUCGAGCGAACGGACGAGAAGCUUGCUUCUCUGAUGUUAGCGGCGGACGGGUGAGUAACACGUGGAUAACCUACCUAUAAGACUGGGAUAACUUCGGGAAACCGGAGCUAAUACCGGAUAAUAUUUUGAACCGCAUGGUUCAAAAGUGAAAGACGGUCUUGCUGUCACUUAUAGAUGGAUCCGCGCUGCAUUAGCUAGUUGGUAAGGUAACGGCUUACCAAGGCAACGAUGCAUAGCCGACCUGAGAGGGGAUCCGGCACACUUGGAACGGAACACGGGCCCAACUCCCUAGGGAGGGAAGAGGUGGGAAUAUUUGCGAAUGGGGGGAAAGCUGGACGAGCCAACCCGCGGGGGGGGAGGAGGUGUUUGGGUUGUAAAACCCUUUUUUUGGGGAAAAAACAAUGUUUGAAAAAACGUUGCCCAUUUGGCGGGUCCCAAAGAAAAAACCCACGGCAAACUCGGG